rnacentral:rRNA from 1 species
AUUGAACGCUGGCGGCAUGCUUUACACAUGCAAGUCGAACGGUAACAGGCCGCAAGGUGCUGACGGGUGGCGAACGGGUGAGUAAUGCAUCGGAACGUGCCCAGUCGUGGGGGAUAACUACUCGAAAGAGUAGCUAAUACCGCAUACGAUCUAUGGAUGAAAGUGGGGGACCGUAAGGCCUCGCGCGAUUGGAGCGGCCGAUGUCAGAUUAGGUAGUUGGUGGGGUAAAGGCUCACCAAGCCAACGAUCUGUAGCUGGUCUGAGAGGACGACCAGCCACACUGGGACUGAGACACGGCCCAGACUCCUACGGGAGGCAGCAGUGGGGAAUUUUGGACAAUGGGCGCAAGCCUGAUCCAGCAAUGCCGCGUGCAGGAAGAAGGCCUUCGGGUUGUAAACUGCUUUUGUACGGAACGAAACGGCUCUGGUUAAUACCCGGGGCUAAUGACGGUACCGGAAGAAUAAGCACCGGCUAACUACGUG